GGUAAAGGACGUCAUUAUAGUCUCCUAUGCACACCCAUGGAAAGGAACUUGAAGUCCGAAUCUGUUUGAUAUCUGUCCAGACUUGCUGUCGAUGAUGGUAAAUCGAAGGCGCUUGAAGACAGGUAAGUCAUAGUUUUAGCAGUUUGAUUCUUGGUACAAAUUGUGUCGAUGAAGUUGCAAGUAGAAUGCUCAACUGUUAAAGUCACCUCCUGGUCAUUCCAAAAGAGUACUAAACCUCCAGCCAAACCUAUAGGGUUUACUACAAAAGAACUUGAGAACUUCAGCUGUCGCUUAAGAUUCUGAAUCAGCAUUGCUUGAUUUUUCGUCUCCAUCAAAAAAAUGAUAUUAGGCCUUUCGCUGGCCACUAGGGCCCUUAAUGCUUGAAUUGUCAGGGGAUUGCCCAGCCCUUGACAAUUCCAACUUAGGAUCCUCAUUUGUCAUGCGGUGGCUUUUUUAGGCAAGCCACCUCGCCCAUGUUCCAACCCCUUCAGUGGAAAAGAUGGGGGUAUCCAGGAGAGUUGAGUCAUCGAGAACGACAGUUGCAUUAGAAGAAGUCCCAUAAGGAGUAUAUCUUUUGGUUUUUUUUCAGUGGACUUGAUUUGGAGAUUGACCUUGGAGUCUUGAUUUUCUUGCAUAAAGAGUAAUUCUCUGUUUCACUGUGUGGUAACAGCAACUGGUUGAACAUCGGAGAUUUUUGUUUUAGGUCAGCAGAAGGAGAAGGCUGCUGCAUAGUUGAUGAAUGUUCUGCUUUAUUUGCCCCUGUUUCUGAAUGCUGAUUAAGAAGCUGAGGGGCUGGAAGGAGUAAAGGAGC
rnacentral:lncRNA from 1 species